rnacentral:misc_RNA from 1 species
GUAUUAACUUUACUAAGUAUAUGGGAUUCUCUUGGUAUUAAAUUUUAGUGCAAAAACUGCCCUUGUUUGUUCUCUUGGAGUUCUUGAACAGUAAGGUUGAAGUGAAGUUAUUGUUCUCCAAAAUUAGACCAGUAACUUGAUGUUGAAUGCAAAAGCUGCCAUUGUAAAGUUCAGAAGAGCUGCUGCAUACACUAGAAAUAUACAACUUCUACAAUCUUCAGAUAAAACUCUCUCACAGGUUCUUUUGAAAUUUAGGGAACCUUACAUCAGGCUUCAUGCGAGGAACGCAAGAACUCCAUGCCAUCAGUUGCAUGUCUACAAGGAAACACUUAUCGUGCUCGAUUUAGC